rnacentral:lncRNA from 1 species
ACCUCAUGUUUAAGUGGCCACACAUGCAUAUAUCAUAAUUUAUUUACUCAAUCCCUGAUUGAUUUUUUUCAGAAAUUUUAGCAAAUAACAAUUACAAACUGUGCUUCAAAGAACAUCGUUCAAAAUCUAUCUUUAUAUUUUUGGAUGGGUAAAACUGCCUGAUAUAUUUGAGCAGUGAACUUGUUGGCCCAAAAUUAUAAGAGGGGCAAGAGAGAAGGUGCAAAGCUUUCCAGCUGAAAUAUUUGCAAGUCAGAUUGACAAACAGAUGUUAAGUCCUUAGUAUAUCUGGUCCAAUCUUUUUGGGAGACUGAUGGAAUUAAAAAUCCAUACAACGUAGAUUAUACUCACAUGGAUCUUGCCACUUUAAGUUCUCUCCAUUUAGUAAACCUCUUCAGGUUUUUGGUUCGUUAGUUAGUUUGUCUUAGCUCUUCUCCA